rnacentral:misc_RNA from 1 species
AAGACUAUAGACCUGCGGAGUACCUGCGGAAGGAUCGUUACCGAGUGCGGGCCCUCUGGGUCCAACCUCCCACCCGUGUUUAUUGUACCUUGUUGCUUCGGCGGGCCCGCCAUUCUGGCCGCCGGGGGGCUUGCCCCCGGGCCCGCGCCCGCCGAAGACACCCUCGAACUCUGUCUGAAGAUUGUAGUCUGAGUGGAAUUAUAAAUUAUUAAAACUUUUAGCAAUGGAUCUCUAGAUCGG